UACGGAGGAUCCGAGCGUUAUCGGAUUUAUUGGGUUUAAAGGGUGCGUAGGCGGCCCGUUAAGUCAGGGGUGAAAGACGGUAGCUCAACUAUCGCAGUGCCCUUGAUACUGGCGGGCUUGAAUGGGCUAGAGGUAGGCGGAAUGAGACAAGUAGCGGUGAAAUGCAUAUAUAUGGCUCAGAACACCGAUUGCGAAGGCAGCUUACUAUGGUUCUAUUGACGCUGAGGCCCGAAAGCGUGGGGAUCGAACAGG
rnacentral:rRNA from 1 species